GAUCAUGGCUCAGGAUUAACGCUGGCGGCGUGCAUAACACAUUCAAGUCGAACGGAGCGAAGUGCUUCGGUACUUUGCUUAGCGGCGGACGGGUGAGUAACGCGUAGGCAACCUGCCUCUCACAGAGGGAUAGCCAUUGGAAACGAUGAUUAAAACCUCAUAACGCCAGAGAGAGACAUCUCCCUCUGGCCAAAGAUUUAUCGGUGAGAGAUGGCCUCGCGUCUGAUUAGCUAGUUGGUGGGGGUAACGGCCCACCAAGGCGACGAUCAGUAGCCGGUCUGAGAGGAUGAACGGCCACAUUGGGACUGAGAUACGGCCCAGACUCCUACGGGAGGCAGCAGUGGGGAAUAUUGGGCAAUGGGCGCAAGCCUGACCCAGCGACGCCGCGUGAGGGAAGAAGGUCUUCGGAUUGUAAACCUUUGUUGACAGGGACGAAAUUUGACGGUACCUGUCGAGGAAGCCACGGCUAACUACGUG
rnacentral:rRNA from 1 species